rnacentral:rRNA from 1 species
GAUGAACGCUAGCGACCGUUUUAACACAUGCAAGUCGAGGGGCAGCAUUGUAAUUAGCUUCGCUAUUACAGAUGGCGACCGGCGCACGGGUGAGUAACGCGUAUGGAACCUGCCCUUUACAGGGGGAUAGCCCAUGGAAACGUGGAUUAAAAUCCCAUAAUACUUUAUUCGGGCAUCCGAAUGGAGUUAAAUCUACGGAGGUAAAGGAUGGCCAUGCGUCCUAUUAGCUGGUUGGCGGGGUAACGGCCCACCAAGGCGAUGAUAGGUAGGGGUUCUGAGAGGAAGGUCCCCCACAUUGGAACUGAGACACGGUCCAAACUCCUACGGGAGGCAGCAGUGAGGAAUAUUGGUCAAUGGCCGGAAGGCUGAACCAGCCAAGUCGCGUGAGGGAAGACUGCCCUAUGGGUUGUAAACCUCUUUUAUUCGGGAAGAAUAAGUUUCACGCGUGGAACGAUGCCUGUACCGAAUGAAUAAGCAUCGGCUAACUCCGUGCCAGCAGCCGCGGUAAUACGGAGGAUGCGAGCGUUAUCCGGAUUUAUUGGGUUUAAAGGGUGCGUAGGUGGAUUGUUAAGUCAGUUGUGAAAGUUUGCGGCUCAACCGUAAAAUUGCAGUUGAAACUGGCAGUCUUGAGUACAGUAGAGGUGGGCGGAAUUCGUGGUGUAGCGGUGAA